AAUGAACGCUGGCGGCGCGCCUAAUACAUGCAAGUCGAGCGAGAAGACGUAGCAAUACGUUUGUAAAGCGGCGAACGGGUGAGGAAUACAUGGGUAACCUACCCUAGAGUGGGGAAUAACUAGCCGAAAGGUUAGCUAAUACCGCGUACGCUCCUUGGACUUCGGUUCAGGGAGGAAAGCGAUACCGAGGGUAUCGCGCUCUUGGAUGGGCUCAUGUCCUAUCAGCUUGUUGGUGAGGUAACGGCUCACCAAGGCUUCGACGGGUAGCUGGUCUGAGAGGACGAUCAGCCACACUGGCACUGCGACACGGGCCAGACUCCUACGGGAGGCAGCAGUAAGGAAUAUUGCGCAAUGGGCGAAAGCCUGACGCAGCGACGCCGCGUGGGGGAUGAAGGUCUUCGGAUUGUAAACCCCUUUCGGGAGGGAAGAUGGAACGAGCAAUCGUUCGGACGGUACCUCCA
rnacentral:rRNA from 1 species